rnacentral:lncRNA from 1 species
CCGCCGCCAUCGAUAAUGAGAGAAGAGCGGAGUCCCGGCCGUGGCUAAUCUCCAUUCCGGUGAGUGUUCUUUUCUCUUUUCUUUCCACACCUCGUCCCGCUGACGCGUUAUCGCGCCGAUAGACGGCGUUCGCUCGUUAAUUUCUCGGCUACUGUUCCGCUGGCGCGUCCACGCUCCUCCGGAAAAUGUCAGCCAGCACCGGCGCCUGCUGACAAUUUUCUGCUCGGCCUUUGUUUUUACGCGCUUUCCAUAGGCUGAGUAAUAGGCGGGAGUAUUUCCGUGUCCACCAUCCUGGCGGUGGAUGGAGGAUAGCCUUCCAUCAGCCGGGCCAGGACUCCUCCCAAAAAUUGCUGGUAUGGAACCCGGCCAUUGAAUCCGGAGCGAAAGCGCGGCGUCCGGCCGACUCCACCCCGGGUUAAUGUCGAGUCGCGCAAUUAUCGUCUCUUCUUUCUUCCAGCUAGUUUUCUAUCGCCAUAUUUAACCGGCGUUAAACUUCUAUUACGUCGAAUGGCGCGGAAAGGCCAUUUGGCCUGAAAAAUUUUAGUUCAGGCGCUGACGGAAAGUCUUUCAUCGUCCCAUUUUUGACGAGUAAACUGCUAACUGCCUAGUCGAGAGUUUAACACUGUCUGGCUUUUAAUCCAGCUACCGCGGUUUAUUUAAUUGGGUCCCGCGGAUUUCCCUCUGGGAUAUGAUUCCCUCCUAGUUUAUACACCUUCCGGGGAGGAAUAGCUACGGAGCAUUGGUAAACUACGUCACUCUGUGAGUGGAGCCAGUGUAACAGAUUUGAGACCAUAAAUGACGUAGGAGGAGAGGGUGAUGCCAAUAAUGACACCACGUCGUAAAAUAUGAGACAGUUUUCGUAAGAGACAAUUUUCGUCAGUUUUCCAUAAAAUUUCGAUAUCUUCCGGAGGUACACUUCCCAGCAAUUAUUCUAAUUGCUGGCAAGUUACCUCCGGAAGCUUUACAUUUACAAAAAGCGUUACAUUAAUAAAAGAUCUGCGCUUAGUUAUUCGAAGAACUAAGAGUAAUAUAUCAUAUUUGGAGGUACUAUAUUCCGAAUAUGAUAUUUUAUGUUAUAAAAAGUAAAACGUAUACACGUAUAUCGAGUGGGCGGAGCUGUUUUUAAAAUUUAAGAAUUUUGUAUCGGAUGGUUAGUGGCGCGUUAAAGCUUGGCCUCCCCAAAAUUUCGACAUUAGCGCCGCGUAAUUACGCGUUUACCAAGUAUUGUUUAAAGUUACCCAAAUCGGUGUCCAGUUGGGCGCAGCUAUUAGAUAUUCUUUAUUUUCAAUUUUUUUAUCGUCCCGAUUUGCCUAAGCCCUUGUCUGGCCAGGACCAGAAAGAAAUUUCUGCCUUAGUAGGUGGAUUUUCAAAGUCGCGAUGUUAGUGCCGCCAAACUACGUAUUUUAUAACAAGGUAAAGAGACGCACCUGCCACGGAACCUGAUAGCUGUCUGGUAGUCACUUUAUAUCUGUUAGCGUUUUUUUUCUCUCUAUCUUCUUCGUAUUUGUUUAGAGUUAUGGAAACCGAGAGGCGGAAGUUGCUAGUUUCGGGAAUAAAAUUUCUGUUUAGUGGUACUGACCUAUCGGUAAUUUAAGAAUUGCGAUUCUAAAGUGACUCGGAUACGUUAUUAUAAAAAUAUUUAAAAGUCUCCCAGAUUAAAAAUAAUACUUAUGGCGGAUUAUUUAAGGUUAGCCUUCCUCCGGGUAACUGCCAGUCCUUACCUGUUUAUUACCAUACUUCUAAUCUAAUUAAAUAUCGUAUGAUAAUGGCGGCGGAUCUCAGACUCCAAGACGAUUGAUAUACAACUUUUGGAAAAUGGCCUUAUGUUUUGGCUUUUCCUCCCGUCGGCCCCGAGGUAGGACUUCAUUUUCUGACCACUAAUAAAUGAAAAAUUAUAUUCUUCGGCCAUGAUAAGAUGCGCUAAUAAAAAUGAUAGAUUUUGUUUGAAGUCAUGGAUGGAGACUAUCAGUCACUAGCUACAUUUCUCAAAAAUAUUGCCAACUUUACGUUGUAUUAUAUAAUAGGAACUGGUGGAAGAAAAUUCCCACCACCGUAUCAAACAGCUUACCUUUUCUAGCUAAAAUGAAAAUCGCCAGUCUAUCCUUAUCCGUCUGGUUUAAACUUUUUCACUCUACCACUAAAACUUUUUAUACGGUUUAAGUUCUAAAUAGUUCCCAUCCAGCCUAAAUUCGCUACACAUUUAUUUAUCGUUUUAAGUGAUGACGGUAUUAAGAGCAAAUUAUUUUUGAAAUUAGUUUAAUCGCUCGAAAUUUUAUCUGCGGAAGUUAUGAAAAUUUUAUGGAAAAACUAACGAAAAUUGCGAAUAAUAUCGGAGAGUCGCGUUUAAUUCUAUAGGUGGAUGAAGCGAAUAGGCUAAAAUAAAUAGACUAUCCAGAAAUAACAGAUCAGCUAAUAUCAUCGAUAAGACCCUUUUCCAGUGAAAUACUGUAUUCUGAAAACAUUCCGAUUUACGCCUAAGAGUUUUGCGCUCGAAAUUCGUAGAGGAAAACGGGGCUAGUACGGUAUUGAAAAAUGCUGAUAUGGGUGGUGAAAUUUGGAGUUUUAUUCGUCUGGCAAGCGUCUGAAACUAAUAUAUUCCCAGCCAAUUUAUUAUAAAAGUUCAUCUGUGUUGGCUGGAAGCGGAGAGAGAUAACAAAGUUGAAUACAAUUUUCUUCCACCAAUAAGCCGAAUUAUAACUGGACUGCGGAUUUUUAUAAACAAUUUUUUGCCACUAAACAACCAUGUUACAUUAUAUAGUAUUCCAUCCAGCAUCGAUUUAAAGUGGAAUUAAGGAUGCCAUUUAAUAUAUUCUCGAUUAGAGUUGGGAUUCAUAUUGGUAGUCGCUAUCCUUAAGUACGCUAUCUUUUUAAUUUUCUUUAACUGGCUACUUUGGUCCUUAGUUAACUCGGCUAGUUGUUAAAUAUUAUCCUGAUAUUUAUAUAAUGAUACCAUAUAUCUUGCCCAUAUUUAUUUUAUACUUAUAUAGACUAUAUAUUGUAUAUAUUUACGCCUGUAUUUAUGUAUAUAUAGAUAUGGGGGUGAUGCCACGGUACUUGGGUCCUGGUGAAACGGGAUAAGACACUUUCGAGGCAGAAACCACGGGCGCAUUGGUGGUAAAUGCGCAAAAUACGCCAUUUGUACAGCGCAUACACUAUCCGUUGGCCAUUGACCGUUUAUAUGGCACCACGCGACCAUAUAAACCAGUAUCUAUACUUUUACGCAAUUUGUGCGGCGCGCAGUAAACGACUGCGCUGUAGGAAUUAGUGCCGAUAGCUAUCCGGAUGGCUUCCUUCGUAAUCGAAGCGCCAAUGAUUGCCAUUUUUAUUCGCACUAUCUGUUGGUCAUUUCGGCUACCCACUUUCGGCGGUAGGACGUUACGUGUCGUACUUUAGUAUAUUUCCUGCCGCUACCAAUGCGCCAUAGAAUAGUAAUAUUUUGUCAUCUACACCAGAUUGGUCUGGAUAUUCAGAAUACGUAUAAAGUAUUAAUUUUAUUUUAUUUAUUAAAAAUGUUUAAUAUUUUAUUUAUUUACAGCAACACUCUGAGCGUACACAUGCGCGAUAGACCCCCCUUCAAAAAUAACACCAAUACACAAAUCAACACCUUGAGAAUAACCGAUGUUAGUACAAGGUGUUAUUGAAGUUAAUAACAACUCUUAUAUAGAAUGAAUUAGGAAAUUUGUUAGUAGGAAAUUUGGAUAUAGAUAGUGAGUCAUAAUUUCUGGAAUGAAAUUGAGGCGGACGAUAGUAAAUUGUUUCAGGUGGUAGCGGUCCAUUAAUGUAUUUAGCUAUAAUUUUACAAUCAGCUAAAGCACUCGUUUCAUUUAAAGAUUUUAUCUUCAUUAUUCUAUAGAUAGUAUCCUGGCUGUAAUGUGAAAAAUCAGAAAUAUUCGAUGAAGUUUUCGCAAUAUGGCGGAUUGCUUUAUCAAUUUUAUUAAUCUGUGUAGCUAAUGGAGAGCUAUAGAUGGGUAAGC